rnacentral:rRNA from 1 species
CGUCUAGGCGGUCAGGUAAGUGGGAUGUGAAAUGCCCCGGCUCACCCGGGGGACCGGCAUCUCAUACUGCUUGGCUUGAGUACGGGAGAGGAUGUGGGAAUUCCUGGUGUAGCGGUGAAAUGCGUAGAUAUCAGGAGGAACACCGGUGGCGAAGGCGCACAUCUGGCCCGAUACUGACGCUGAAGCGCGAAAGCUAGGGGAGCAAACG